UCUUUUGGGUCUUGUAAUUGGAAUGAGUACAAUUUAAAUCUCUUAACGAGGAACAAUUGGAGGGCAAGUCUGGUGCCAGCAGCCGCGGUAAUUCCAGCUCCAAUAGCGUAUAUUAAAGUUGUUGCAGUUAAAAAGCUCGUAGUUGAAUUUUGGACCUCGGCCAGACGGUCUGCCUGUUUGGGUACGUACUGUCUUGGCUAGGUCUUUCCUUCUGGAGAGCCUAGGUGUCGUUUACUCGGCGUCUAGGGGAUCCAGGACUUUUACUUUGAAAAAAUUAGAGUGUUUAAAGCAGGCUUACGCUUGAAUACAUUAGCAUGGAAUAAUAGAAUAGGACUUUGGUUCUAUUUUGUUGGUUUCUAGGACCAAGGUAAUGAUUAAUAAGGAUAGUUGGGGGCAUUAGUAUUUA
rnacentral:rRNA from 1 species